rnacentral:rRNA from 1 species
UACGUAGGGGGCUAGCGUUGUCCGGAAUCAUUGGGCGUAAAGAGCGUGUAGGCGGCUCGGUAAGUCCGCUCUGAAAGCCCGGGGCUCAACCCCGGGAGGCGGGCGGAUACUGUCGGGCUAGAGUCCGGAAGAGGCGAGUGGAAUUCCUGGUGUAGCGGUGAAAUGCGCAGAUAUCAGGAGGAACACCUAUUGCGAAGGCAGCUCGCUGGGACGUAACUGACGCUGAGACGCGAAAGCGUGGGGAGCAAACAGG